GCCCCGGUUGCCUAAUUGGAUAAGGUACCGGAUUUCUACUCCGGGAUCUGUGGGUUCGAGUCCUUCCCGGGGCGCCA
rnacentral:tRNA from 1 species